AAAGGGAGACCUAAUUCAGGUAUGGGACGAAAAAAAAGUAGUCCCAACCAAGAAUCAAUCCCAAAAGGUCGGAGCGAGGCGAAAUUGGCUUUCAAACUAGGUUCUGGGUUCACACAAGACCUGAAUCAGGAACAAGGGCUAUUAGCUCAGGUGGUUAGAGCGCACCCCUGAUAAGGGUGAGGUCCCUGGUUCGAGUCCAGGAUGGCCCACCUGCACAGGUGGCAAAAACAAGAGAAGCUCCGAAUCAGCACCUUAUCUUACUUAUAUAGUAAGAGAGAAUGCUGGCUCUGAGUUCAGAGUCCAGAGGAACCUUGAAAACUGCAUAGAGCUAGGUGAAAAAGCCAAAAAAGAAGACCGCAAG
rnacentral:tRNA from 1 species